rnacentral:rRNA from 1 species
GACGAACGCUGGCGGCGUGCUUAACACAUGCAAGUCGAACGGAAAGGCCCUGCUUUUGUGGGGUGCUCGAGUGGCGAACGGGUGGGUAACACGUGAGUAACCUGCCCUUGACUUUGGGAUAACUUCAGGAAACUGGGGCUAAUACCGGAUAGGAGCUCCUGCUGCAUGGUGGGGGUUGGAAAGUUUCGGCGGUUGGGGAUGGACUCGCGGCUUAUCAGCUUGUUGGUGGGGUAGUGGCUUACCAAGGCUUUGACGGGUAGUCGGCCUGAGAGGGUGACCGGCCACAUUGGGACUGAGAUACGGCCCAGACUCCUACGGGAGGCAGCAGUGGGGAAUAUUGCACAAUGGGCGGAAGCCUGAUGCAGCAACGCCGCGUGCGGGAUGACGGCCUUCGGGUUGUAAACCGCUUUCGCCUGUGACGAAGCGUGAGUGACGGUAAUGGGUAAAGAAGCACCGGCUAACUACGUG